GCCAAGGAUGUUUUCAUUAAUCAAGAACGAAAGUUAGGGGAUCGAAGACGAUCAGAUACCGUCGUAGUCUUAACCAUAAACGAUGCCGACCAGCGAUUAGGAGACGUUGAAUACAAAACACCACCAUCGGCGCGGUCGUCCUUGGCGUCGGUCUUUCGGGGCCGGCGCGGGGGCGGCUUAGCCCGGUGGCACCGGUGAAUGACUCCCCUAGCAGCUUGUGAGAA
rnacentral:rRNA from 1 species